AUAAUCUACCCGACAAUCCGGGAUAACAGUUCGAAAGGGCUGCUAAUACCUGAUAAGCCCACGUCGUCUUCGGAUGAUGAGGGAAAAGGUGGGGACCUUCGGGCCUGCCGUUGUCGGAUGAGUCCGCGUCCCAUUAGCUAGUUGGUAGGGUAAUGGCCUGCCAAGGCUACGAUGGGUAGCUGGUCUGAGAGGAUGAUCAGCCACACUGGAACUGAGACACGGUCCAG
rnacentral:rRNA from 1 species